rnacentral:lncRNA from 1 species
CACAAUUUACACCAGCAAACUAGCAUGCCUCUAAACCAGGUUCCAACAACAAUUAACAUAUUCAUAAACAUAACAACCGAGACCCUAAAUCAUCCUCCUCUCCUCGCCAUGAUUCCACGGAUCACAAUUUACCUGCACCACAAACACAAUGAGAUGCGUGAGUAUUAUCACAAAUACUCAGUGAGAGCGAUCCUCCCAUCUACGAGCUAUACACACAAGCUAUGAGAUAACACACACAUAUAUAACAUAAACAAACCAUUCAGCAAGCUAAACAUCCAAUACACUUCCAAUUCACCUAUAAAUCAUCACAAACAAGUCACUCAAUCCCAAUCGCUUAGAUAAGCUCAUGGUCACACACUCACCUUAACAAGGUGAUUUGAAUAACAAAAACAAUCAGGAAAGACUAUCCUCGCGACUGCAACAGCCAAACAACGCCCUACAAUAAACCACACAAACAAAAAUCUCUAAGAACCAAAAGGAUAGAAACAGCAGAAAACCUACAGCCGCAGAAACGAAGCCCUAAAACAUAAACCAACCGUUAACUUCUUAAUCCCUACGGUGAAAAGCAAGAUACAGACGUCACAAAGCUGCCCACAAAAUUUGGUGCCGAUCAGAGAACCAAUGAAAUCACGAUCGCACUUAGAAACUCCGCUGAUCCCAAUUCGCAACAGAGAAGAAACGUCUCAACAAAAUGCAGAUAACUCACUGAGUAUUAAUCCGAAUUCACUUCUGUAAAAAGGAGAAUCAACGUACACGCCUUUGGAACAAACCUACCAAAUUCAUUACCUUUCGAUAAGAUUUGAUACGUCGGAACUCUAUUCUACCAAGACGUGACGAAUCUGCUUCUCUUGCUUUAAACACCAAAGCAAAGCUAACACUCUCCUUCUCACAAGUGAACAUCUC